ensembl:lncRNA
ACCCAAGGCAGCAGCAUACCAUUUGAAAACACCAUCGACUCCCCCACACACUUCCUUGUUUGACACAAACAACAUGUGGGUUAUAAUUCGUUAAGGCUUAUCUGAAUCGUUGUCAAGGUUGUUUCAUAGCAACACCUGCAAGUGACCACUAGGUGUCACCGUGGAGACGGGUGUCGGAUUGUUUCGAAGCCUCGAGACAAUAUGGCACAUUUGCUUGUCCUGUUUCAGUGUACCACGAAGCCUCGCUCUGCACACCACUGGUGGACACGGGCGCAGUCGUUUUAUAUCGUCUCUUUUAAAACCUCCAGAUUUUUUCCAGAUGAACUGCAGAAAUUUAGCAGAACGCCAUAUUUUAAUCCACAAACUAAUCAACUUCCCACUGCCGUAGCCUGCUGUACUUCCUGUAUAUCUUGAUUGAUAGAUGCCUCGCCCAAUCAGCGGUCAGUAUUCCAUUCGCUAACUAUAGGCCUACCUACCUUUUCCGUUUUGUCUGUUUUGUUCAUUUGUUUUGAGAUUUGUUAUUUUGUUGGCAGAUUUAUUGAGACUCUGUGGAGUAUUGCCAAGAGGAAAAUGAGAGACACCAGACCCAACAAUACAGACAAGUUGAAGGUCGCUAUCAAAGUAACCUGGGCUUCCAGAACACCUCAGCAGUGCCACAGGCUGAUUCCCUACAUGCCACACCGCACUGAUGCAGUAAUUUUGAUGCAAAAGCAGCCCUGACCAAGUUAAGCAGUGAUGUUGAUUUCAGCCAGGCCGGGCAGUAGCAUUCGUCAGUCAUCAUUUUAACAACAGGUUAUUGGUAAAUGUGUUUAUAUUGUAAUGUAUAGGUUGUUGUAUUGUUUCAGCAUUAAAAUAUAAAAAAAUCGUUUA